rnacentral:piRNA from 1 species
UACCACCUUAGUUUCUCUGCAUUCCAAAAU